rnacentral:lncRNA from 1 species
GGUAGGGUGGGCAUAUUGUUAGCUUAAGAGAAUAAGAUAGGAGGAUUGUGAGUUUGCUUUUAAAAAAAAAAUCAAAAACCCCUAAACAAAAUUAAAAACAAGCAGAGAUAAAACAAAGAAAUAAAACUUUGUAUUAUGAAAAAUGCUCAAGUAUUAAAAAAAGAAGGAAAUAUAAAUUAGCCAUCGGUGGCUCAUGUCUGUAAUCCCAGCAUUCAGGAGUAGAGGUACAACAUCCAGAAGACCCCUACAAGUUCAAGGCCAGACGGGGCUACAGAGUAAGGUCCUCUCCCUCUAAAGAAUGGGGGUGGGGGAGGAGAAAGGGCUCUGUAUGUCCAUGUAACCAGUUUCAGUUUCACUUAUCCAUAUAUGGAACUAUUUUUGCUUAUGAAUAUUCAUGCUCUCUCUACUUCUCAACCUACAGCUCCUAUCAUUAAUUUGAGGCCGUUUCAGAUAUUAUUUGCUUAUCAGUAUAAGAAAAAAGACAACUACCAACCUGUAGAUGUAGCUCAGUUGAUAGAAUGUUUGCCUGGUAUUCUUGAAACCCUGAGUUUGAUCUUUAGCGCCACAUGAAGCUGGGUCUAGUAGCAUAGUCUUGUAAUCCUGGUAUUCAGGAAACGGAGGCAGGAGGAUAGGAAGUUCAAGGUCAUCCUUGGCUACAGAGUGAACUAACUUUAGGCCAGCCAGGGCAACCUGAGACUCUUGACUCCAAAAAACAAAUGAAAAGGACAGCUACCGUUACUGUUAUGCUCAAAAACAAAUUUUCUGAGUACCUUUAAUCUCAGCGUUUGGGAGAAGAAGCAGUCAGAUCCCAGAGUGUGGGACUAGCCUGGUCUACAUAGAGAGUUCCAGGCCAACAGAGUACCAUGGCGAGACCCUGUCUCACAAUAAGAAAGCAGCAGCAGGAGGAGGAGAGGGCGCUGCAGAUGAGUGAGUCCAGGGAAGGAGCUCUACGCUGGCUGGCUGAGGUACCCCACGCUGCCUCGCCCCACUACUUUGCAGUUCUUUUGUUGAACAGUCCAGUCAUUUGUUGUAUAGUUUCCUAUAGUCUGAAUUUUGCUGAUUAUAUCCAUUUAAUGUCAUGUGACAUACUUCUUAAUUCUUUUUAUGACUUGCAAUUUGGUUUUAGCUCUCUGUGCUUGAUCAGAUUACUGUUCAAUUCUUGACUGCAUGGAGGAAGAUUAUUUUAUAGGUAAUAACAUGCAAGUCGAGCAGGAAACAUUGUUUCUUUUUGGUGAUGUUAUCCAGCCCUUAACUAGCAUUGCCUAGGCUUUGCAGAGCAAUAUACAAUUGUAUAAUUCCUCCUUCAUUUAUUAUCUGGAAUACCAAAAAAAAAAAUUUCUAGUCAGCUGUACUAGCUUACUCUGAAAGCCCAGAAAAGGCUAAAACAGGAGAAUGCAAGUUUGAGGCAAGCUUGGGCUAUAUAAAGACCCUGUCUCAAAAUUAAUUGAGAAUAUUAAUUUAUUUCAAAACUGCAGGUAACAAUAUUUAGCCUGGAUAGCACUGGGAAAUUGCAUUUCCUAAUAGCUGUCUCAAAAAAAAAAUCUAUAUACCUCAAGGAAUUUAUAAUAUGUAAAGUUUUGAGUUUUAAAAGUUUUAAACUAAUUGCUUUAUAUAUAUUUUGGUAUAAUCAAAAUCAGAUUUUAUUUAUUUACAUGUGGAGGUAGAUAGGGAUUGAAUUGUGUGUGUGUGUGCGUGUGCGCGCUCUCACACAUAAAGGAUAGCUAUCAACCUAGGGUUUUACUUCUCAUGGACCAUCUAUCUACCCAGUAUUUUGAGACAGUGCUUCCCUGGGACCUGGAGCUCGAUGAUCAUUAGGCCAGGUUGGCUGGCCAUUGAGCUCCAGGGAUCAUCCUGUCUGUGCCUCUUCAGUACUGAGAUUACAAGCAUGUGCCACCAAACCCAGAAUCUUACACAGGUGUUGGGGAUUGAACCAUGACUCCCAUGCUGAGGUAGGACUUUACCAACUGAACUGUCACCUCAGUCCCCAAAGACUUUAUUCUUGAUUCUAGCAAAGGUUUGAUCUCAUUAUAUAGUAGGCAUGUAUAUAUACAUGUGUAUGUGUCAGAGUGAGUUAUCUAUUAUAUAAUUUGAGAAAUCUCAUGUAUAGUUAGUUGUUCUGUAUUGUACUAUUUGCCUAGCUUGGUCCAGAACCUUGAUUUGAACCCUCUAGCACAUACACAUAGGAAGG